UACGUAGGGUGCAAGCGUUGUCCGGAAUUAUUGGGCGUAAAGAGCUCGUAGGCGGUCUGUCGCGUCUGCUGUGAAAACUCGAGGCUUAACCUCGAGCUGUCGGCGGAAACCAUCUGGCUAGAGUCCGGAAGAGGAGAAUGGAAUUCCCGGUGUAGCGGUGAAAUGCGCAGAUAUCGGGAAGAACACCCGUGGCGAAGGCGGUUCUCUGGGACGGUACUGACGCUGAGACGCGAAAGCGUGGGGAGCGAACAGG
rnacentral:rRNA from 1 species